rnacentral:rRNA from 1 species
GCCAGCAGCCAUACAGUAUCACCCUGCAGCUCUCAACUGGCUGCCCACUGAAGCUAAGCAGGGUUGAGCCUGGUCAGUACCUGGAUGGGAGAUCUCAUGAGAAGCUACGGUUGCUGCUGGAA